rnacentral:rRNA from 1 species
CACGUAGGGGGCGAGCGUUGUCCGGAUUUAUUGGGCGUAAAGAGCUCGUAGGCGGUUCGAUAAGUCGGACGUGAAAUCUCCACGCUCAACGUGGAGGGGCCGUUCGAUACUGUCGUGACUCGAGUCCGGUAGGGGAGUGUGGAAUUCCCGGUGUAGCGGUGAAAUGCGCAGAGAUCGGGAGGAACACCGUAGCGAAGGCGGCACUCUGGCCGGUACUGGACGCUGAGGAGCGAAAGCG